UACCAGCACCCCGAGUGGUCGGGACGAUUAUUGGGCCUAAAGCAUCCGUAGCCGGUCCUACAAGUCUUCCGUUAAAUCCACCUGCUUAACAGAUGGGCUGCGGAAGAUACUAUAAGGCUAGGAGGCGGGAGAGGCAAGCGGUACUCAGUGGGUAGGGGUAAAAUCCGUUGAUCCAUUGAAGACCACCAGUGGCGAAGGCGGCUUGCCAGAACGCGCUCGACGGUGAGGGAUGAAAGCUGGGGGAGCAAACCGGG
rnacentral:rRNA from 1 species